AUGGUCAAGGAAUUUCCAAUCGACCGAAUCAAAUACUUUCUCAAAAUCUACCUUGAAGAUUAUUUCUUCCUGCGCUUAACAUCAUCAACCAACUCAUUUGCUAUAAAGAUGCAGUCCAACAUUUGUCCUCCCUCAAGAAAAGUAUAUUGUACUUCAGAUCACUUUGUAGACCACCUUCUUCAAUCUAUUUGUAAGCAGCUUUGCCAGAAUUUUAUACGUACAUCCAGUAAGAGAAAUAGUUCUAAACUCGUUGAUAUGAAAAGCUUGAAUUAUAAAGUAGUUGUGGCAGUCUUUAUAUACAAAAUAAAGGAAACGGCAAAUCCUUAA